rnacentral:lncRNA from 1 species
AUUAUUUAGAGAAUGAAUUUUUCUUUUCUAUUUAGUUAGUGUGGCAGAGUUCAUGUAUUGCCACACAGCACAGAAAAACUGUUACUGUAUUUUAUGCUUCAGAACAGAAGUAUGUUACUGAAUUAAUAUAAGGCAAAUUUCUUUUGUAAUACAGCUUGUGUUGUCUGGUAAUCAUGGUUUACAAAAAGUUUCAAAUUUUUUUUUUCUUCUUGUUUCUUUGGAUUGUUUUAGUGAUAUUUUUUUCUUUUUUUUAUUAGCAAUGCUGUACCAUAUUAAGUCACUUCUUCGUGCAUGAAAGAAAUGGUGUAAACUUGAAUACAAAUCCAAAAUUAAGAUCCUUAUCAGAGCAAAAUUAGAGCAACAAAAUAAAACCACACUACUAAAGCAGAGCUUCCCAAACUUACUCUGCUGAAGUUCAGGCCCUGGCAUUGAUGAUUAAAAGGCCAUUGUUCAAUUUCUUCAGAUUAUCUGUAAAUUUUCAAUAAUGGCAAUACAUUCAUUCUGCCAUUUGGAGGAGCCUGUGCCACAGAAUAAUGAUGUGAAGAAAGCUCACUUAUUUGCAAGGAAGAGUCCUCAUUUGGGAACAGUACAGCUGCAACUAAGAGGUGCUUUGUCAAGUUCAGAAUUUCUGAAAGUAUUCAGCUCUGCUGAAUGCUAA